GACGAACGCUGGCGGCGUGCUUAACACAUGCAAGUCGAACGGAAAGGCCCUGCUUUUGUGGGGUGCCCGAGUGGCGAACGGGUGAGUAACACGUGAGUAACCUGCCCUUGAUUUUGGGAUAACUUCAGGAAACUGGGCCUAAUCCCGGAUAGGAGCCCCUCCUGCAUGGUGGGGGUGGGAAAGUUUCGGCGGUUGGGGAUGGACUCGCGGCUUAUCAGCUUGUUGGUGGGGUAGUGGCUUACCAAGGCUUUGACGGGUAGCCGGCCUGAGAGGGUGACCGGCCACAUUGGGACUGAGAUACGGCCCAGACUCCUACGGGAGGCAGCAGUGGGGAAUAUUGCACAAUGGGCGGAAGCCUGAUGCAGCAACGCCGCGUGCGGGAUGACGGCCUUCGGGUUGUAAACCGCUUUCGCCUGUGACGAAGCGUGAGUGACGGUAAUGGGUAAAGAAGCACCGGCUAACUACGUG
rnacentral:rRNA from 1 species